AUAUUCUCUCGCCCCAUUGAUGGGGUAAUUUUUAGUGAGUGUUCUCUUCCUCACUCCGCGGUGAACAACCUUAAAAAAUGGGGGUGUUGGGGCGAGAGUUUUUCCUGACUCCCCCCGGCGCGCGCACAGUUGCUUCUCAAAAGCGGCUCCGGGGAGAGCCUCCUCCACUUUUGGAGGGCUUCUUUUAGUGGUGGGGGCCCCACAACUCAACAGUGUUUGAAGGGGUGAUUUGCGUUCGGACAUGCAUGACCACCCAGAAGAAUGCCGGUAACAAUGUGGAAUGCAAGAAUCAAUGGAUCAAUGGAUUCUUCGACUCCACAUUGCGCCCGCCACCAUUUUGGUGGGCAAGCCUGUCCGAGCGUCAUUUCAACCCUCAAGCUCUGCUUGGUGUUGGGGCCCUACAGCUGAUGUAGGCCCUCAAAGGUAGUGGCGGACCCUCCCGGAGCCUCCUUUGCGUAGUAACUUUACGUCUCGCACUGGGAUCCGGAGGGACUCUUGCCGUAAAACCCCCAAUUCUCCAAAGGUGAGCUCGGAUCAGGUAGGAAUACCCGCGAACUA
rnacentral:rRNA from 1 species